rnacentral:rRNA from 1 species
GACGAACGCUGGCGGCGUGCUUAACACAUGCAAGUCGAACGGAGUGGCGAACGGGUGAGUAACACGUGGGUGACCUGCCCUGCACUUCGGGAUAAGCCUGGGAGAAUGGGUCUAAUACCGGAGAGUGUGGGAUGGGGCCGCGGUCUAUCAGCUUGUUGGUGGGGUAAGGGCCUACCAAGGCGGCGACGGGUAGCCGGCCUGAGAGGGUGGACGGCCACAUUGGGACUGGGUCACGGCCCAGACUCCUACGGGAGGCAGCAGUGGGUGAUAGUGCACAAUGGGCGGCAGCCUGAUGCAGCGACGCCGCGUGGGGGAGGACGGCCUUCGGGUUGUAAACUCCUUUCACCAUCGACGCGGUAGAUGGAGAAGAAGCACCGGCUAACUACGUGCCAGCAGCCGCGGUAAUUC